UACGAAGGGGGCUAGCGUUGUUCGGAAUUACUGGGCGUAAAGGGCGCGUAGGCGGUGUGUCAAGUCAGGCGUGAAAGCCCCGGGCUCAACCUGGGAACCGCGCUUGAGACUGGCACGCUAGAGUUCGGGAGAGGAUGGUGGAAUUCCCAGUGUAGAGGUGAAAUUCGUAGAUAUCGAGAGGAACACCGGUGGCGAAGGCGGCCAACUGGACGAAUACUGACGCUGAGACUCGAAAGCGUGGGGAGCAAACAGG
rnacentral:rRNA from 1 species